rnacentral:lncRNA from 1 species
GCCAGAGCCACAGCAACGCAGGAUCCGAGCCGCGUCUGCAACCUAUACCACAGCUCAUGGCAACGCCGGAUCGUCAACCCACUGAGCAAGGGCAGGGACCGAACCCGCAACCUCAUGGUUCCUAGUCGGAUUUGGUAACCACUGCACCACGACGCAUUGAAUGCCUGUUAAGUAGACACUUAAUGCAGUGAAGUUUUUCUUGAACUCUUCACAUCUACAAUGCUAAAAUAUUUUCUUCUCAGAGAAAAAUCCAAAUUAUUAAAAAUGUUUGGCUAUUUAGAAUCAUGGGGGCUCGUGAUUACAAGUGCCUCUGGAGAAUUUCCAAAGAAACCACCUACCGCCCCUGUGGUGUGCCUUCAGAUUUUUUCCCCACAGAAUAUGGAGGGAAGCAGCACAAGAUAAAAGCAGUGAUGGUGAAAUUCUUUAACUAUUUACAAGGCUGGAUAAGAGUUUCUGUCUUGCAGGUCACCAAAUACCUAAAUUCAGUUCCCUUGUGGCAAGCUUUAAAUGGAUGACUUGAAAAGUCUCAUUUUAUGUGCAUUGAUUUCAUGAGGGUUUCUUUUUUUUUCCCAUUCUUUCUGUGGUCACACUGGUGGCAUAUGGGAGCUCCCAGGCCAGGAAUUGAAUCCCAUGCCGCAACAGUGGCAACCCACUGCUGGGACCAAGGGUCAAACCCAUUCCUCCACAGCCACCCUGGCUACUGCGGUUGGAUUCUUAACCCACUGCACCACGACGGGAACUCCAUGAGGGUUUCUUCAUGAUGUGGGAUUACUGGAUUCUUUCUCUGGCACAUCUGAAUUGUUCUUGGUGGUGGCCAAACACUCUGCCACUGCCCUGCCCUCCUAAGUCUGUACCAUUGGUGUGGCCCUCACAUCUGCCUCUUUGUGCUCAUAGACUGGGUGUAUACUUGUAGACACUUGGCACAGAACUGGCUGUGAAUACAGAGGUCCCCAAAGCCCCCACGUGUUUAAGAACAAUGAAUGUUAAUGUUGCUAGCCAGCAGCGAGAAAAGCAGAGCAGAGACGCUCCUAACAAGAGCUGACACAAGGAAAAAUACUGGCUUUUUGUCUCUCUUGUAUGUUAAACAAUUCAUGAGGUUUGGGGUUGAGUGAGACAUUUAAUAAACAUUGGCCGCUUGGGCUGCCUACAGCUGGUGAUUUGUCAGUAUUGGUCAAAUGUAUGAGGAACAGAAUGAAUUUUUCAGUAUUGAGGACUUGAGGCUUAACAAAUAAUGCUGUUUACCAUCCAUUUAAAUUUAAAGAUACAACACUUUUUAAGUGAUAAGCUCAGAAUUUUGAUAAAGAAAAAAAAGUCUCCCAUAAGAUGAAAUUAAGGUAUUUUCAAAUUGAAGUCUCUCAUAGAGUCUUAGCUCCAUAAUUGCUCUUAAGUAUCACUCAGCUUAAGCUCCUACACCUUACUGGAAUCCCUCCUGAAGAAUGGGUCAGCUAUCUAGUCUUGCUUGAACAUUUUGCCCUGCCUAAUUCAGUUUCUUUAAAGGAGCUGCUCACUACAGUCUUGAGAUGAAAGGAAUGACCCACCAGACCUGAACUAUCUCAUCUCACUUACCUGUAUAUGUACCUGGUACCUCUCCUUUGCUAAUGAAUUCACCUGAAUUCUGUGUGACUGACCUUAUGGGUAAAGCACCUGCUGGGUAGCUUUGGCCCCCGUGACCCACAGCUGCUAGAAAGGUUUUCAUGAUAUUCAUGUGUUUGCUGCCUCCUUUACAUCUCUACCCAUGCCUGCCUCAAAACUUAAAGCUAAAUUUUGCGGCUGAAUUAGUAAUUUUAGACUCUAGAUUUUAUAAAAUUUGAAUGAGGACUUCAUCAGAGAGAUCAUUGUCAGAGUGAUGUCCAAGUCAGAUGUUUCUACCUUAAAUUAACAAUAAUUUGUUCCAAAAGUUUGUUGUUUCUGCUGAUCCAUGUAAAUGUCAAGGAUGUGUUUUAUAAAAAUGGAAACUGAGCCACAUAUAUUCAAAAGGGGGUGAUGUGUCUUAGCAAGGAGGGAUCUGAACACAUGGCAGCAAAAUGGGGUAGGCACAUGGGCAGCUAACCUUCUGUCCCUUGAAGGAAUUCCAUCUGAAGAAUGGGCUGGUCAUCCAUUCUCUGCUUGGAUAUUUUGAAUAUAAUAUCAAAGUGGGCACAUUGAUAUCAAUGAGUUUCCUUUUCUAUACUGGUUUUCUCUGCUUUCAUACACACACACACACACACACACACACACACACACAUACACAUAUAUAUACAUAUAUACAUAUAUAUAUACACACAACUGAGUAUCCAAAGAAGGAUGUAGGAAAUGGCUAUUCUAGUGUUGGUAAUAAUUUAUGUUUAAUUUACAUAGACAUGGUUCUUUCUUAGGGGGGAUGAUAUGAUAGAAGAUAAUAUGAGAAAAAGAAUGUAUGUAUAUGUAUAACUGGGUCACUUUGUUGCCAGAAUUUAUGCAGCAGAAAUUGACAGAACACUAUAAAUCAGCUAUAAUAAUUUUUUUUUUAAAAAAAGAAAAAUGAAUCUAAGUUGGAGGAAAGGGGCCAACUCUUUAAUAAGGGAAGCAUAACUAAGUGUAUAGUCAAUAAUAGACAACACUCUUUUAGAGUUGAUAGAAUGUUUCCAAAACUCCUGAUACUCUGGAUUUGAUAUCCUGUCUCAGACAACAAUGUAGAUGUCCUGUAUUUGAAACAAGUUUACAUAGCAAAAUAACAAUAUCAUGAUAUCUCUGUUUAAGAUCAAGGAAGAAAUAUGGGCAUGGGUUUCAUUGCCAAGCACACAGUUACUCAUUUUAUUAAAUUUGAUUCUAUGUGGCACAAAAUAACACAGGUCAUUCUGGGACAAUAAAAGGCAUAGGACUUGGAACAAGAUCUUGAUUGUUUUUUUCCCUUGUGGCCAAAUAGUUGAGUGAUUUAGGGCAAGUCAUUUAUUCCUCUGGAUCCUGGCCUGCCUGUUUAUAAAAUGGGAUUCAUAAUAAUUCUCAUCUUAGGGCUCAUGGGAGACUUAAAUAAGGUAAUGCACUUAGACAUACUUUAUAAAUUAUAAAUGAUCAUUUUAAUGGCAGAUACUGUUGAAAAUAUAAUAUUAUCAUUGGUAAAACUACAAUAAUACUACCAAGUUUAUGCCAUGAAAUAGUAUAGUGGUUCAUAACAUUGGCUUAGUAUGAUCUAAAGGGGCUUGUUAGAGUGGUAUUUUCUGGGACUCUUCCAGGUGUGCGGUGCCCAGAAGACUAGACAUUAAGGGAUUUUCCAAUUUUUUGCAGAAGUGUCUGAGAACUACUGUCUCCCAGAAUUAGGCAGAAAAUUUGGUAUGUCAUCCAGGCACCAAUGCAAAAAUAAUAUCAGAUGAAGGAGCUUAAUGAUUUAUUAAUCCCGAAAUCAAGGCAUGUUAGACAUACCUAAGGUCAACACAUCCCCUGAUUCUCUCAGAAUCGAAAGUGUUAAAAACUUCAGUCCAUUAAAGACUCUUGUAAUGAGUAUGUAUCAGAUGGAAAACAAAUGUCAGCCUUUUGUACAUUAGUCCAUGUAGACAUGCGAUUGUACUCUUGUCUUAUACACACACAGGCAUCUUUGCCCUGGCUUCUUAUUCUGGCAACCCCAAUGAGGCGUGAGCAGGGCAUGGUAGAGGAGAGCUAGAGAUCAAAAUGGCCCAAAGUAGAUGGCCUGAAAGUUGAGCAGGAUGGUCGUGAUAUGGAAGACAGCUCUUCUCCUUUGCCUAACCUUUUGCCAAGUCAAGCUAACAUUCGCAAAAUAGAAGAUAUAGACUAAAGAGCUUAUUAUGCCCCAUAGUUCUUAUCCAUAUGUCACAGCUGUAUGCAAUGCCCCUUUCUCCAUUUAUAAUGCUUGAAGUCCCACUCAUCCUUCAAAUCCUGAAAGCUCAAAUCCUUGUUUCCUAUGUGAAGCCAGUUCUAACUUCCCCCACAAGGCAGGUGUUCCUUCCUCCUCCCAAGUGAAUUAAUUUUGUGUGCAUCAAAUUCUCCUUCUAAACUAUAAGCUUCUUUCUGGAGGUAAGACAUGCCUGCUUCAUCUGUGUUUCUUCAGAACCUAGCACAUUGCCUGGCAUAGAGUUUGGUAACUGUUAAUAUCCAGGUGAUUAACAGUGUCACUUUUAAGGAAUAUGUCCUUGAGACUAUGUCCUUGAAGUCACCAUUCUGUUGUCAUUUCUGUGAUUUUUCUAUACUGUAUGGACUCAAUAGGUCUCUAAGCACACAUAUACUGUUUCAUUAUAAUUUGAGGGAAGAAGUAAAUCACAUUAAACUCUUUCAGAUGGAUCACUUUGGCCUGACAAAAAUUCCUAUUGGUUGGUUUGUAUCAUUACCCUAGGUCAAACUACAUAAUUCACCUGUACUUUAAGUAAAGACUAAGUAUAUAGAUAGAUAUUAGUUACUAAAUCUCUUUUUUUCUGGGCUUCAUAAUUGGUUCUAGGCCAAAAUUCAGUUUCAUAUCUCCUUCUGGUUUCUAUCCAUAGAAAUACAUUUUCCCCUGAGUACAACCAUGAGCUCACCCUAGCCCCCAAAUUUCUUCCUUUCCAAAAUGUUAUUGUAUACUUUAUUGCCACAAUUUCUCCAAAAAAAACCUCCAAAUAUCUUUACAAUUUUGUUUCUCUAUGUCGUAUUUAUAGGAGUUUCAUUCCUUUUUUUUUUUUUUUGGUUUUCAGGGCCACACCCAUGGCAUAUGGAGGUUCCCAGGCCAGGGGUUGAAUCGGAGCUAUAGCUGCCUCCUACACCACAGCCACAGCAAUGCAGGAUCCUUAACCCACUGAGCCAGGCUAGGGCUCAAACCUGCAUCCUUAUGGAUAUUAGUCAUAUUUGUUUUCCCUGAACCAUGAUGGGAACUCCAAGGAGUUUCAUUCUUAAAUCAGCAGACUUAUCUCUUGACAUGUUAAUUUUCUUAAAUAUUUCUUCAACUUAUCUAUUAGUGUCUUAGAGGAUGAUAUUGAUAACAUAUAACACUUUGGUUUAUUCACAAACUAAGGGGCCAUGUGACAGGUACCUAUUGAAAAAGAUCUGGAAAGUCUGGAGAAUAUAUACAUAGAAAUGUCCUGGUCUGAUAAAACAAAGUAAUGAGUUUCCUAUCACUGAUUGUGGACAAACAAAAGGCAGUUCAAUACAAAAUAUGGGAAUUGGAGAAGCAAUUUAAAUGUUAGAUAAUGGUCACUGCCAGACUUAAAAUUCUCUCAUCUUUCACAUCAUUUUAUUGAGAUCAGAGUUCUAUGACCUCACUUUUAUGUCUUCCUGAAAAUGGUAUGUGAGCCCUACGUAAAUUGUUAACACCGCACCAUUCUAUAUAAUUUUAUCAGCUUGUUUUCUAAUUAGAUGUCCAUUUCCUGACCAUUUCUUUAUAAGUGACAAUUUGAUCAGAGUCAUAAAAAAUUGAGAAUGGAGAUAUUCAUAUGAGGCUUGUUGAUUUCACAAUGUUCUGAAAUGACUCAUCCCCAACCCUACUCUACCUCUCUUCUGCCUUAUCAUCACCAUCAGAACAUUUGUAAAAUAAGAGAUGAUCUGUCCUGUGACUUUUUUGGUAUUUCUAGGAUUGUCCUCUUAUUCAUUACUUUUAGUGUUCACUCACUGCGUCUUCCUUCCCCUUCUCUGCUCUUUGCAUCAUUUUUUUUUCUUUUUUCUUUUUUCUUUUUCUUUUUUCUUUUUUGCCUUUUAGGGCCACAUCCAUGGCAUCUGGAGUUUUCCAGGCUAGUGAUCAAAUUGGAGCUGCAGCUGCCGGCCUAUGCCACAGCCACAGCAACACAGGAUCCAAGCCGUGUCUGAGACCUACACCACAGCUCACGGCAAUGCUGGAUCCUUAACCCACUGAGCAAGGCCAGGGAUUGAACCCGCAACCUCAUGGUUACUAGUCGGGUUUGUUAACCACUGAGCCACGAUGGGAACUCCUGCAUAAUUUUUUAAUAGUUCAUUUACAACAUAUUAGUUCAUGUGUACAAGAUAGUGAUUCAAUAUUUUUAUAGAUUAUAAUCUAGUUACAGGUAUUUUAAAAUAUUGUUUAUAUUACCUGUGCUGUAUAAUAUAUCCCUGUAUCUUAUUUAUUUUAUAAUAGCAGUUUGUCCCUAGUAAUCUCAUCCCCCUAUUUUGUUCUUCCCCCAAACCUUCUCUCCACUGGUAACCACUAGUUUGUUCUCUAUAUCUGUGAGGCUGUUUCUGUUUCAUAUGCAUCACUUUGGAUGAGACAUGGGGGCCCAUAUCCCCUCCCCUUUUCUGCCUGGAAGUGCUUAUGGAGCUCGGAGAAUGACAUGAAGUUGGAUUGUUUAUCACUGUGCUGAAAAAUGGAAGGAUGGCAUCACUACAGGAGCAGAUGGCACUGUAUGUUUGGCAUAAUUUUCUCAGACAAACUAGGACUAGGGCUGUGAAUGCUGGCAUUUGCCUGCUAUAUAGUCAUCUACGUCAAAACAUAACAAUGAAAAUAAGGGACUUUGUGGAAAAGGCAUUGAGGUUUUAAAUUAUGUGCAUUUAAGUGCCAUAGGCUCCUGUUGUAUGCAUACAACUUGGUUGAACUUCUGACAUUCUUCAUUAAGCAGAAUUUUAUAUAUGACCAGGCUUUUUCGUGUUUAUCUUCCUUUGUAUUUCCACAAAUGUUCUCAGGUAGUGCUAUAUUAGAAAAUUGCUUUUAAGCAUGUAGAGUAUGUUUGAAACAAAUAGAAAUCGAAAUGAUGGCAUAAAGAAUAAGAAUGUGUUUUAAAUUCUGAGAACCAAGAAAUAUCUGAAAGAAAAAUAUGCGGUGAUGAAGGGAUCAUUAAUCUUUGUUUUACAAAACUCAAAUUAAGGUUAUACUACUUACUUACUGGGUGAUUUUAGACAAUUCAAACAUAAUAAACUUAUUGUUUUUCUCACUGAGUAAAUGAAGAGUUUGGAUAGGGUGAUUGCUAAGAUUUUUUUCUAAUUCUAAUUUUAUUUGAUUUGCUCUUUCUAUGCAAACUGAUGCAGCAGUAAUAUAGGCCACCCAUUUACUUUUUGGCCUAUUCAUGUGCUUUUUUAAUUUUUAAUUAAUUUAUUUUUAAAGAACAAUGGAGAGAAAGGAGAGAGAACACAAUGCAAAUGGCCUCAGGACUCAGGAUGCAUUUUAUUUCUGAAGUACAUACCACUUUUUCUUCCCUUUCUUCCUCUUUCCUCCCUUAGAAUCGAUACUUCUGUGCCUCACAUUUUUUUUUUUGUCUUUUUGUCUUUUUAGGGCUGCACCCACAGCAUAUGGAGGUUCCCAGGCCAAGGGUCAAAUUGGAACUACAGCUGCCAGCCUAGGCCAGAGCCACAGCAACGUGGGAUCCAAGCUGCCUGUGCGACCUACACCACAGCUCAUGACAACGCCGGAUUCUUAACCCACUGAGCAAGGCCAGGGAUUGAACCCGCAUCCUCAUGGAUGGUAGUUGGGUUCGCUAACCACUGAGCCACACUGGGAACUCCAUGUGCCUCAAUUUUUAUUUCCUUUGAAGAAAUAGACAACUCCCAAGAAAAUGGCUCUAGUUUCUUAUGUGUUUGAAUUAACAAAUUCAUGUAUCCAUUCUUUUAGUAAACUCUGUUAUAGGCAAGUACUAGGGUAUAGGGAUACAGUGAUGGUUAGGAUAUAUUGUCUGCACUAUGGGGAUUGACAGUCCAGCGCGAAGCAUACUGCAUCUAUGAACCUGUAUACAAAACAGAAUCAGACUCACAGACGUAGAGAAUAGGCUUGUGGUUGCCAAGGACAGGGGAGGAAGUGGGAUGGAUGGGGAUUUUGAGGUUGGUAGAUAGAAACUAUUACAUUUAGAAUGGAUAAGCAAUGAGGUCCUACUGUGUAGCACAAGGAACUAUAUCCAGUCUCUUGGGAAAGAACAUGAUGGAAGACAGUAUGAAAAAAGGAAUGUGUGUGUGUGGGUGUGACACACACAUGUAUAUUGACUGGGUCACUAUGCUGUACAGCAGAAACUGGCACAACACUAAAUCAACAUGCUUUAAUAAUAAUGAUAAUAAAUACAGAGGACAGAACCAAUUUUACUAAGAAGAUAUGGGAAAAAUGUCACAAAUGAGGUUACAUUGGAGUUUCUUUUUAGAGAAAUUGUUAUAAUUUCUCCAGUGAGGAAAGAAAAAAAUGCUUUAUGCAGAGGGAACAGUGUAUACUAGAACUAAGGGUCAUAAAAAGGUCUGACAUGUUUGGAGAAAACUGAGAAAUUUUAUAUGGCCUGAAUGCAGGGUAUAGAUGAAAAGGGUAGGAAUUAAAGACUAAGAGAAAAAUGUGGGCCAGAUUUUGAAGGCUUUGUAUCCCUGUCUAAAAAAAAAAAAAAAAAAA